AAAGUAUCAAAUUGGAGCUUGGUAGAAAGCAUUUCACUUACACUGAAAAUUUAAUUGUGCAAUUCAAUUCGAUUUG
rnacentral:tRNA from 1 species